rnacentral:rRNA from 1 species
ACUCCUACGGGAGGCAGCAGUGGGGAAUUUUGGACAAUGGGGGCAACCCUGAUCCAGCAAUGCCGCGUGUGUGAAGAAGGCCUUCGGGUUGUAAAGCACUUUUGUCCGGAAAGAAAUCGCACUUACUAAUAUUAGGUGUGGAUGACGGUACCGGAAGAAUAAGGACCGGCUAACUACGUGCCAGCAGCCGCGGUAAUACGUAGGGUCCAAGCGUUAAUCGGAAUUACUGGGCGUAAAGCGUGCGCAGGCGGUUGUGCAAGACCGAUGUGAAAUCCCCGGGCUUAACCUGGGAAUUGCAUUGGUGACUGCACGGCUAGAGUGUGUCAGAGGGGGGUAGAAUUCCACGUGUAGCAGUGAAAUGCGUAGAGAUGUGGAGGAAUACCGAUGGCGAAGGCAGCCCCCUGGGCCAAUACUGACGCUCAUGCACGAAAGCGUGGGGAGCAAACAGGAUUAGAUACCCUGGUAGUCCACGCCCAAAACGAUGUCAACUAGUUGUCGGGUCUUCAUUGACUUGGUAACGUAGCUAACGCGUGAAGUUGACCGCCUGGGGAGUACGGUCGCAAGAUUAAAACUCAAAGGAAUUGACGG